UACGUAGGGGGCUAGCGUUGUCCGGAAUCAUUGGGCGUAAAGAGCGUGUAGGCGGUCCGGUAAGUCCGCUGUGAAAGUCGGGGGGCUCAACCCUCGAAUGCCGGUGGAUACUGUCGGGCUAGAGUGCGGAAGAGGCGAGUGGAAUUCCUGGGUGUGAGCGGUGAAAUGCGGCAGAUAUCAGGAGGAACACCUAUUGCGAAGGCAGCUCGCUGGGACGCAACUGACGCUGGAGACGCGAAAGCGUGGGGAGCAAACGGG
rnacentral:rRNA from 1 species